GACGUAGGGCGCGAGCGUUGUCCGGAUUUAUUGGGCGUAAAGAGCUCGUAGGCGGCUUGUCGCGUCGAAUGUGAAAACCCGAGGCUCAACUUCGGGCUUGCAUUCGAUACGGGCAGGCUGGAGUUCGGUAGGGGAGACUGGAAUUCCUGGUGUAGCGGUGAAAUGCGCAGAUAUCAGGAGGAACACCGGUGGCGAGGCGGGUCUCUGGGCCGAUACUGACGCUGAGGAGCGAAAGCGUGGGGAGCGAACAGG
rnacentral:rRNA from 1 species